UACAGAGGAGCCAAGCGUUGUCCGGAUUGACUGGGCGUAAAGCGCACGCAGGCGGACGCGCGCGUGGGGUGUGAAAUCUGGCCGCUUAACGGCCAGGCGCCAUCCCAUACGGCGCGUCUGGAGCCAUGCAGAGGUCGGUGGAAUUGCCGGUGUAGUGGUGAAAUGCGUAGAGAUCGGCAGGAACACCAGUGGCGCAAGCGGCGCUCUGGGUCGAGCCUGACACUGAGACGCGAAGGCAUGGGGAGCGAACGGG
rnacentral:rRNA from 1 species